UCCACGUUGACCAAUGCAGUACUGUGUGAAAGUCUUAUCACCUUAGCUAUAUGUACGUGCUCAAGACUUUUGCACAGUACUGUACAUCCUUCUGGGAAAUAGGAAUCCAUGAAUGGCUGCCUUGUUUCUCCAGGUAGGAAUGAUGUGCAUACCUUCAGCGACAGGAGACAAUCAACAUAUGGUGCACCUUCCCAUGAAAAGGCCAUGAACAUAUCAAUCGCCCCUCGUAUAUGGAGGUGGAGAGCCCACAUGAUGCUUCCGUUUGACACUUCACCUGGAAGACGGCACCCCCAGAGAUGUUAUAUUUCUCCCAGCAAUUAACUGUAAACCUAUUUCUGGAGCUGGAUAUCUUGGGACUGUGUAAUAAUGGAAGCCACAACUGCAUUGCAGUGAGGGUUAGCAAAUACCACUAGGCUGUAACGUUGAAACCACUGUUCUGGUUAGGUUCCUAAAACAAUGUUAAACUCUGGAAAUCCAUCUUUUAACUUUCUGAACCAUCUUUCAACCAUAAGCAGGAGAUGGAGAGAGAAGACGUUGGGGAGAACCGGUCAUGGCAUACGAUCUGGUGGGGGACCCGUUUGUUCGAGACGGAUUGCGAGCGACCUUCGGAAGGUGGUGUGGCGUUCACGUUAACCGCGGGCCCAGCGCGUGAGUGACAGAGAAGUUCAAGAUGAGCUCCAACCUGUGCAUGUUUGACUGUUUAAUUAAAAUGGGCCCUUUUCUUUUUGUUACUCUUUACUAACCCUUUAGUUAAGAUUCAUAAAUAUAAUUCCUUUAAUCGUAUGCAGUUUUGGG